rnacentral:rRNA from 1 species
AUUGAACGCUGGCGGCAGGCUUAACACAUGCAAGUCGAGCGGAGAUGAGGUGCUUGCACCUUAUCUUAGCGGCGGACGGGUGAGUAAUGCUUAGGAAUCUGCCUAUUAGUGGGGGACAACAUUCCGAAAGGAAUGCUAAUACCGCAUACGUCCUACGGGAGAAAGCAGGGGAUCUUCGGACCUUGCGCUAAUAGAUGAGCCUAAGUCGGAUUAGCUAGUUGGUGGGGUAAAGCCCUCCCAAGGCGACGAUCUGUAGCGGGUCUUAGGCGAUGAUCCGCCACACUGGGACUUAGACACGGCCCAGACUCCUACGGGAGGCAGCAGUGGGGAAUAUUGGACAAUGGGGGGAACCCUGAUCCAGCCAUGCCGCGUGUGUGAAGAAGGCCUUAUGGUUGUAAAGCACUUUAAUCGAGGAGGAGGCUACUGAGACUAAUACUCUUGGAUAGUGGACGUUACUCGCAGAAUAAGCACCGGCUAACUCUGUGCCAGCAGCCGCCGUAACAC